rnacentral:rRNA from 1 species
UACGAGAGGCCCAAACGUUAUUCGGAAUCACUGGGCUUAAAGCGUGCGUAGGCGGCUCAGAAAGUUGGGUGUGAAAUCCCUCGGCUCAACCGAGGAAUUGCGCUCAAAACUACUGAGCUCGAGGGAGUUAGAGGUGAGCGGAACUAAUGGUGGAGCGGUGAAAUGCGUUGAUAUCAGGAAGAACACCCGUGGCGAAGGCGGCUCUCUGGGACGGUACUGACGCUGAGACGCGAAAGCGUGGGGAGCGAACAGG